CCUACGGGAGGCAGCAGUGGGGAAUAUUGGACAAUGGGCGAAAGCCUGAUCCAGCCAUGCCGCGUGUGUGAAGAAGGCCUUCGGGUUGUAAAGCACUUUCAGUGGGGAAGAAAGCCUUGGGGCUAAUACCCUCGAGGAAGGACAUCACCCACAGAAGAAGCACCGGCUAACUCCGUGCCAGCAGCCGCGGUAAUACGGAGGGUGCGAGCGUUAAUCGGAAUUACUGGGCGUAAAGCGCGCGUAGGCGGUCUGAUAAGCCGGUUGUGAAAGCCCCGGGCUCAACCUGGGAACGGCAUCCGGAACUGUCAGGCUAGAGUGCAGGAGAGGAAGGUAGAAUUCCCGGUGUAGCGGUGAAAUGCGUAGAGAUCGGGAGGAAUACCAGUGGCGAAGGCGACCUUCUGGACUGACACUGACGCUGAGGUGCGAAAGCGUGGGUAGCAAACAGGAUUAGAUACCCGUGUAGUC
rnacentral:rRNA from 1 species